rnacentral:rRNA from 1 species
AUAUCUGCCCUAUCAACUUUCGAGGGUAGGAUAGAGGCCUACCAUGGUGAUGACGGGUAACGGGGAAUAAGGGUUCGAUUCCGGAGAGAGGGCCUGAGAAACGGCCCUCAGGUCUAAGGACACGCAGCAGGCGCGCAAAUUAUCCCCUGGCAACACUUUGCCGAGAUAGUGACAAUAAAUAACAAUGCAGGGCUCUUACGGGUCUUGCAAUUGGAAUGAGUACAAUUUAAAUCCCUUAACGAGGAUCAAUUGGAGGGCAAGUCUGGUGCCAGCAGCCGCGGUAAUUCCAGCUCCAAUAGCGUAUAUUAAAAUUGUUGCCGUUAAAAAGCUCGUAGUCGAACUUCGGGCUCUGUCAGCCGGUCCGCCUUCUUGGUGUGUACUUGUUUGACGGAGCCUUACCUCCUGGUGAACGGCGAUGUCCUUUACUGGGUGUCGUCGCAAACCAGGACUUUU